UACAGAGGGGGCAAGCGUUGUUCGGAAUUACUGGGCGUAAAGGGCGCGUAGGCGGCCUGCUAAGUCGAACGUGAAAUCCCCCGAGCUCAACUCGGGAACUGCGUCCGAUACUGGCAGGCUUGAAUCCGGGAGAGGGAUGCGGAAUUCCAGGUGUAGCGGUGAAAUGCGUAGAUAUCUGGAGGAAUACCGGUGGCGAAGGCGGCAUCCUGGACCGGCAUUGACGCUGAGGAGCGAAAGCGUGGGUAGCAAACAGG
rnacentral:rRNA from 1 species